GGCGCGGUGCCUUCCGAGUUCCCUGGAACGGGACGCCACAGAGGGUGAGAGCCCCGUAUGGUUGGACACCAAGCCUGUGUGAAACUCCUUCGACGAGUCGAGUAGUUUGGGAAUGCUGCUCAAAAUGGGAGGUAAAUCUCUUCUAAAGCUAAAUACCGGCCAGAGACCGAUAGCGCACAAGUAGAGUGAUCGAAAGAUGAAAAGCACCUUGAAAAGGGGGUUAAACAGUACGUGAAAUUGUUGAAAGGGAAGCGCUUGUGACCAGACUUGCGCCGGGCGGCUCAUCCGGGGUUCUCCCCGGUGCACUCCGCCCGGCUCAGGCCAGCAUCGGUUUUCGUUGGGGGAUAAGAACGUCAGGAACGUGGCCCUCCCUCGGGAGGGUGUUAUAGCCUGGCGUACGAUACCCUGGCGGGGACCGAGGUUCGCGCUCCGCAAGGAUGCUGGCGUAAUGGUCAUCAGCGACCCGUCUUGAAACACGGACCAAGGAGUCGUCCAUUAGAGCGAGCGUUUGGGUGUCAAACCCGCACGCGUAAUGAAAGUGAAAUUAGGUGAGAGCUUCGGCGCAUCAUCGACCGAUCCUGAUGUUCUCGGAUGGAUUUGAGUAAGAGUUUUAACGGACGGACCCGAAAGACAGUGAACUAUGCUUGUAUAGGGUGAAGCCAGAGGAAACUCUGGUGGAGGCUCGCAGCGGUUCUGACGUGC
rnacentral:rRNA from 1 species